GACGAACGCUGGCGGCGUGCUUAACACAUGCAAGUCGAACGGAAAGGCCCUGCUUUUGUGGGGUGCUCGAGUGGCGAACGGGUGAGUAACACGUGAGUAACCUGCCCUUGACUUUGGGAUAACUUCAGGAAACUGGGGCUAAUACCGGAUAGGAGCUCCUGCUGCAUGGUGGGGGUUGGAAAGUUUCGGCGGGUGGGGAUGGACUCGCGGCUUAUCAGCUUGUUGGUGGGGUAGUGGCUUACCAAGGCUUUGACGGGUAGCCGGCCUGAGAGGGUGACCGGCCACAUUGGGACUGAGAUACGGCCCAGACUCCUACGGGAGGCAGCAGUGGGGAAUAUGGCACAGUGGGAGGAAGCCUGAUGCAGCAACGCCGCGUGCGGGAUGACGGCCUUCGGGUUGUAAACCGCUUUCGCCUGUGACGAAGCGUGAGUGACGGUAAUGGGUAAAGAAGCACCGGCUAACUACGUG
rnacentral:rRNA from 1 species